rnacentral:lncRNA from 1 species
GGGUGGACCAGUAGAUGAUGCAAAUGGCUGAAACAUUUUUGGUCAAUUGGGAGGUGGUGAUGAUGGUGAAGAUAUUCAAGGAUGAUCAAGGGUUCCCUGCUAGGCGUGUGUAGCUAGCUCUAGCGGCAUAUUAAUUGUGGAAGCUUAUCGUAUUCAGGGCUCGAGGCUCGACCGCGAGCACCGCCCGAGUGGGCCGACCAUAUCCAGGAGUUACCUAGUCUAGCCCUAACUCUAUUACUUCUAUUCACUUGGACAUCAAAAUUUGUAUGGAAAUCCAUCCAGGUGGACAGCAUCGUGGAGAGCCCACAGAACAAGUCCACGAACUGGACUCAACGCUGCUCUCGUCAUCUGUGCCACAGUAGUACCAGUCAGAUCUGGAUCGCGAUACCGAGGCCUACCGUGCCUACCGUAACAGUGCAGUGUUCCGACCCAUCGUGCUGCAUACAUAAAUCUAGUGCAUGGAGAUAUGCAGCGAGCAGUGUCGUGUCCUAUGCCAGCCAUGCCAGUACAUAUAUGUAUGUAGGUGGUUGCUACGGAGUUACCAUAGGUAACUAUGGCGCGGCCAGAGUACUCUCAAUCACGGAUCGGCCCAGCCCCUUUCCUAACCCCCCCAUUUUUGACUUCAAAAUUAUAUAGUUAACAUAUGCCUUCUACAUUUUAUAGAAAUGUUGUUCCGAUCAAGCGACUCCAUUGUUAGCUGCGACAACAGUUGGUGGUUCUGUUGAACGUUUUAGCCUCAAAUGUGGUCGAGUCAGAUCUGCAACUGUAAGCAAUUCCAUGCAUACUAAGCAGUUAGUAGUAUAGUACGUAUUCAGAUCAGCUAGUUAGUUGGUUAAUAUUAUGGGGUGGCUAU